rnacentral:rRNA from 1 species
UGGGGAAUUUUGGACAAUGGGCGAAAGCCUGAUCCAGCAAUGCCGCGUGUGUGAAGAGGGCCUUCGGGUUGUAAAGCACUUUUGUCCGGAAAGAAAUCCUUGGCUCUAAUACAGUCGGGGGAUGACGGUACCGGAAGAAUAAGCACCGGCUAACUACGUGCCAGCAGCCGCGGUAAUACGUAAGGUGCAAGCGUUAAUCGGAAUUACUGGGCGUAAAGCGUGCGCAGGCGGUUUGCUAAGACCGAUGUGAAAUCCCCGGGCUCAACCUGGGAACUGCAUUGGUGACUGGCAGGCUAGAGUAUGGCAGAGGGGGGUAGAAUUCCACGUGUAGCAGUGAAAUGCGUAGAGAUGUGGAGGAAUACCGAUGGCGAAGGCAGCCCCCUGGGCCAAUACUGACGCUCAUGCACGAAAGCGUGGGGAGCAAACAGGAUUAGAUACCCUGGUAGUCCACGCCCUAAACGAUGUCAACUAAUUGUUGGGGAUUCAUUUUCCUUAGUAACGUAGCUAACGCGUGAAGUUGACCGCCUGGGGAGUACGGUCGCAAGAUUAAAACUCAAAUGAAUUGACGGGGUCAUAGCUGUUUCCU